GUGCCUAACACAUGCAAGUCGAGCGAUGAGAUUGCUUUUUGAACGGAGUAGCGGCGGACGGAUGAGUGACACGUGCGCGACCUGCCUGACCUAGGGGAAUAGACUUCCGAAGGGAACAUUAAUACCGCACAAGAUUGCAACUUCGGCAUGACGCGACCCUUAUAGGAGCAAUCCGCUAUAAGAUGGGCCCACGCCGCAUUAACUAGCUGGUGAGGGAACGGCUCACCCAGGCGACGAUGCAUACCCGACCUGACAGGGAGAUCGGCCACAUUGGGACUGACACACAGCCCACACUCCUACCGAAGGCAGCAGUGGGGAAUAUUGCACGAUGGGUGAAACCCUGAUGCAUCAACGCCGCGCGAGUGAUGACGGACUUCUGGCUGAUAAGCUCUGUCUUUGGGGACGAUAAUGACGGGACCCAACGAGGAAGCCACGGCUAACUACAUGCCAUCACCCGCGGCAAUACGUAAGUGGCGAGCGUUGUCCGGAUUUACUGGACGGAAAGGGAGCGUAGGCGGAUUUUUAAGUGGGAUGUGAAAUACCCGGUCUCGACCCGGGCGCUGCAUUCCAUACUGGACAUCUAUACUGCAGGACGGGAAAGUGGAAUUCCUAUCGUAGCGGAGAAAUGCGUAGAGAGUAGGAAGAGCACCAAUGGCGAAGGUGAUUCUCUGGACUGUAACUGACGCUGAGGCUCGAAAGCGUGGGGAGCAAACAGGAUUAGAUACAGUGCUAGUCCUCACCGUAAACGAUGAAUAGUAGGUGUAGGGGUGUUCAUGACCUGCAUGUCGCCCAUAAAGCAUUAAGUAUUCCAAGUGGGGAGUCCGGUCGCAAGAUUAAAAGUCAAAGGAAUUGACGGGGCAACGCACAAGCAGCGGAGCAUGUGGUGUAAUUAGAAGCAACGCGAAGAACCUUCCCUAGACUUGACAUCUCGUACAUUACCGUUUAUCGCGGAAGUUCCUUAGGGGACAGGAAGCCAGGUGGUCCAUGGUGGUGUUCAGUUGGUGUCGUGAGAUGUUGGGUUAAGUCCCGCAACGAGCCCAACCCUUUUUAUUAGUUGCUUCCAUUUAGUUGACCAUUUUAAGGAGACUGCCCGGAUUAACCGGGAGGAAGGUGGGGAGGAGGUCAAUUCUUCAUGCCCUUUAUGUUUAGGGUUCCACACGUGUUCCAAUGGCCGGUCCAAGGAGAUGCAAUACCGUGAGGUGGAGCAAUAUUAUAAAACCGGUCUCAGUUCGGAUUGUAGUCUGAAACUCGCCUACAUGAAGCUGGAGUUACUAGUAAUCGCGAAUCAGAAUGUCGCGGUGAAUACGUUCCCGGGCCUUGUACACACCGCCCGUCACACCAUGAGAGUUGGCAAUACCCAAAGUCGGUGAUCUAACCCGCAAGGGAGGAAGCGUCCUAAGGUAGGGUCAGCGAUUGGG
rnacentral:rRNA from 1 species